UACGUAGGCACCAAGCGUUGUCCGGAUUUAUUGGGCGUAAAGAGCUCGUAGGCGGUUUUGUAAGUCGGGUGUGGAAACUCUGGGCUCAACCCAGAGAGGCCACUCGAUACUGCAAUGACUUGAGUACGGUAGGGGAGCGGGGAAUUCCUGGUGUAGCGGUGAAAUGCGCAGAUAUCAGGAGGAACACCAGUGGCGAAGGCGCCGCUCUGGGCCGUAACUGACGCUGAGGAGCGAAAGCGUGGGUAGCAAACAGG
rnacentral:misc_RNA from 1 species